AUAAUAUAACAACAAUAAUCCGGGCCGGGAGGGGGGCUGGCUCCUCUUCCGUCUCCUCCUCAGUGCAGCGAACAUGUAGAGCCGGGGGAACAAAAUGCCGACCGGAAGUGCAGCUGCAGGAAUGACUCCCUCCACCGGCGCCAAACACCAACAGCCUCCCCCUUCCCUCCGCCACUGCCGCCGCCUCCUCCGCGCCCGAUCGCUCCCUCGCUCCGCCAGCGCCGCUUCCGCCGCCGCCGCUCCCCGCCCAGCGCCGCCGCAGCUGGAGCGGCUCCCUCCGCCUGGCCUGGCCUGGGCUGGGCCGGGCCGGGCCGGGCUGGUGGCGGGCACGGCCGAGCCGUCGCUGCCCGGCUGUCUCUCCCCUUCCCCACCCCUCCGCCUGCUGCCGGAGUUUCUCUUUCUGUUUUUCCCCCCUCCUGGUGUGCGGAACGGGACCGAAGUUAACGCUCAGGCCUGCGUUGAGAGGACGGCAGCCAGCAAUUUCUGAAGAACCGGCCGUUGAAAAAAAAAAAAAAAGAAAAAAAAAAAACCCCACACCUUUUGGGUUUUAUUUUUUGUCUUCCUCCGGGAUGGCGGGGCGGACCGCAAAGCGCCGCCUGGCAGGGGUAGAGCUGAAAGGGCGCCUUUAAGCCGAGCGCAGGCGGGAGGCGCCGGUGCCGCUCACGCAGUCCCGGGGUGCAGCGAGGCCGCGCCGCAGGAACCGAAAGGCCCGAUGCGGGAAGCGUUGCCGGGGCGAGGGAGCGCCAGGUGGACGUGCCGGACUGGAGCGGCUCUUAAAAACAGCCUUUCUGGACGAGGACGGGGGAGGAUGCUGAGGGUGAGGUGAAGGGUACCCCGCUGGGGCCUGACGCCCCCCGCCGCCACCAGAUUUACUGGAAAUAUUUUAAUUGUGGGUUGUAAAGGAGUGUUUGGAGACAGAGAAUGUAUGUCCUAGUCCGGCAGAUUUUCCGGUGUUCUUCCGCACAGGUAACACUGAAUAACGACGGCACAGGACAGUCGUGAAGAAGCAUUUAUAUCUGACGAAUUAACUGUGCUUUUUUGUAGUCGCUUAAUUCGUUUUGCUCCUCAGCAAUUGGACAAAAAUCCUGUGCUUCCUAGAGGAAACCCUGCUUGCCUGUCGAAUUCAGGAUACAGUUGGACACAGGUGUAAAUACCCUGUGACGUACACACCCAUUCGGCUCUGGAUGGACACUGCACAAAGGGGUCAUACCUUACACGAAUGCACUUGCAUCUUUCCAAGUCUUAGGAUUUCUUGAAUAACGCUCUGUCUUUAGUACAGAUUUAAAAUGCCUCUCUCGAGCUUAAACAACUAUUAAUAAUGUGGGAUGAAUCAAAGUUUGUUUUACAAAAUAGUAUGUGUUGUGUGACGGUACAGAAAUGAAGACGGCACUGGAGAGGACAGUAAUUCAGUACUGGAAACACAAAUAUCUAAUGAGUACGCAAUCGUGAGUUUGGUGGAGACAGAGUAAACAGGGCUCUGAUAAAAACGUGUCGCAUACCUUUGUUCCAAGUUAAUUGAGAAGAUCCCAAUCCUAAAUUUAUGCAUUUAUACCUUAAGGUUAUCCAUUUGAAAUAAAGGGAAAUAACUGGAGUAGUAAAUGGAGUGUUCCUAAGUCUUUGCACUUAAUUUAGUAUAGUGUGAAUCUGUAACUCAAGGGGGGAAAUAUUUAUCUUCUCUUGGUAAUAAAGUUUAAUGGACUACC